ensembl:lncRNA
UCAUAUUAGACAUUCUCUGAUCAUAGUGCGAUUGGUUGAUAGAGAGAAUGGAGACCAACGACGAAACUUUUACCGUAUCCGGUCGGCAAAACUCCGAAUACAUCUUUCUUUUCCAGGAAAGACUUCAGUGCAGUUCUUUGUUCAUUGCUCAAAGAAAAUGAUAACUUCAAGUCUUGAAGAGUCGCGGCCAAAGCCGAAAAGACAGCUGUUCGCCAGCAGCUGCAGCCAUUAUUGAUUACCUUAACACGGAACCGUCGCAGCUCUGUCGUCAUUCGGCGGGAUACCGCCCCUCACGAUCUGAUUGGCCUGACACAUUUUCUGUUUUCAGCAGCGAAAAACGACGACAGAAGGCUAAAAAUUGAAUUUGCUGCCGUUAGGGGCGUCUAGAUUUCUAGGCUAGGCUACUACUGCAAUACUCAUGAAAAUGCUAGUAUUUAGACAGCCUUUAGAGGGCGCCAUAGACUAAACUGAUAGGGAAUGUGAAAAAGUAGGCCUAGAACUGUUUUUAUUAAACAUCCAUGGCUACAGUGAGACAGUAUUAAAAGGAUGUGCAAAUGUGUUUAAAGUGAGGGGUCUGAAUCUGGGGUUCUAGCUCAUGUUUUUUUGUUUUUGAGUUGCUUUGUUCUACAUGACACCUUCUUCUGUUUUGGCAUUAUGUCGAGUGAGUAAAGUUUGUGUGGUGGCUUUAUAUUAAAGAUCUCUGUAAGGAAAUGCCUGUGAUAACGUUGACUUGAGAAAACUGUUUUCUGCUUAGCUUUUAGUUGAGCAAUUAAAAAUAUAUUAGUUGCUGUUGUUUACCUGUUUUCUACUUCCACAUUUUAACCCAAUGAAAAUAAAACAAUGGGCUGCUCUUCACCAUUUUGCAUUAUGUUAUAAUUUGGUCAGGAAAUUUAACUGAUAUUACUUCUAAUGCUAUUAAGUGCUAGCAAAGGAAAACCAUUGUAUUUCUCUAUCACUGAUGACAUGUCAUUACAAACAAAUAAGAAGUGAGAGAACACUCGCUAUAAGAAGCCUUGCCCUCCAAAGUGAGCAGUAGUUUGAGUUAUCAGACACA